GUUAAAUCAAACCAAAAUCUGUUGCGUAUGAGCCGUAGAUUUUACAAGGGCGAGAUCAACGGGAUGAAAGAUCCAACGGUGAAGCGUGAGCUGAUGUUGAAGGGGCUGAGAGAUCAUCAAUAUUCGGGAUCAUCUUCGAAUCAGGCAGCGGCAGUGGCGGCCAAGGCGGAGCAACUUAAACGGGCGGAGGAGUCUCUCAGAACGGUUAUGUAUUUGAGCUGUUGGGGCCCUAACUAAACGUCGUCCUCUUUAUUUCCACACAGUCGAGCAUAUCUCUCAACGUCAAAGCUACGGUUUUCUCAGAUUAGAUUAGUGACCCUCUGAAAUGUGAAUAAUCAUUAAUCCACCUACUUCAUUUGCAACAAAACGGUAGAGCGACGUCGUUUUGAAUGUAUAAAUGUAAAUAUGCGCUAGAUGUUUUGUUUCCCCAGUU
rnacentral:misc_RNA from 1 species